rnacentral:rRNA from 1 species
UAUGUGAUCGUCUCUCGCAUAUCAAUAAGCGGAGGAAAAGAAACUAACAAGGAUUCCCCUAGUAACGGCGAGUGAAGCGGGAAGAGCUCAAAUUUGAAAUCUUAAAGGGUUUCCCUUUACGAAUUGUAGUUUAAAGAAGUGUUUUCUGUUGAGGUUUUGGUAAAAGUUCUUUGGAAUAGGACAUCAUAGAGGGUGAGAAUCCCGUAUUUGACCUUUACUUUCAACUUUGUGAUACACUUUCAAAGAGUCGGAUUGUUUGGGAAUGCAGUCCAAAAUGGGUGGUAAAUUUCAUCUAAAGCUAAAUAUUGGCGAGAGACCGAUAGCGAACAAGUACCGUGAGGGAAAGAUGAAAAGAACUUUGAAAAGAGAGUUAAACAGUACGUGAAAUUGUCAAAAGGGAAGCGUUUGACACCAGUGUUGUUUUUCUGAAAAUCAAUUAAAGAACUGUUUAUGCUAAGUUGUUUAGACUUUAUCAGCUAACUGUUUAGUUUUGAGCUUUUCUUUAAUGCACUUUUCAGUUAACAAGUCAACAUCAAUUUCUUUUGCUGUAAAAAAGCUUGAGGAAGGUGGCUUGAGAUUCGUCUUAAGUGUUUAUAGCCUCUUGCCUAUGCAGUCGGAGAGAUUGAGGUCUGCAGCGUAGAUCCUUCGGGGCUAAAUGCAUUUGUGCUAAGUUAUAGCAUUUUAUAGACAACUUGUUGACUAUGAUUUGUCUUGUAGCUUACUCGCUUAUGUUAUUUUACCUACGCUUAGGAUGUUGAGUAGCGACAUACGCA